CUUCGGAGGAGUUAGCGAAAUUCCAAUGUGUGCGGAUCGGCAAAAAAUGCGCAAUAACCCUUUAACCGUACAUUUGACAGAUACACCCGCACUGACUUUUUUGUAGAUCUUAUUGAGAUACAUGUGUGUGACAAUUUUUGUGUCAUUUUGACAAAGCGUACAGGCGUGACAGUCAAUAGUGUGAAUUUUCACCUUAGGGGGCGCUAUGGAGCCAUUUUUCAUUUUCUUGUUUGGGCGACUUUGGAAUAUCAAAUUUUUCACCAGGCCCGGUCGUCCUGCCAAAUUUCCUAAGUUUUCGCCAGUGGGAAGUGGGCCAUUUUCCAGUUCAAAGGGGAGGAAAAAGAAGAAAGAAAGAAACAAAGAAAAACCCCUACAGGAAUAACAGGGCCUACGCCC